GUCAACUGCAACUUGGCCUCUUGAUCCACCAAAGGAUGAGAAACAAGGGUGGAGACAUGUGAGAAUUAAACAGAUGGGGAAAAAUGCCAGUGGACAAACACACUACCUCUCAUUAUCUGGAUUCGAACUUUAUGGCACUGUAAAUGGAGUAUGUGAAGAUCAGCUAGGGAAAGCAGCUAAAGAAGCAGAAGCUAAUCUUAGACGGCAGAGACGUCUAGUACGUUCCCAGGUUCUGAAAUACAUGGUUCCAGGAGCUCGUGUUAUCAGAGGCCUGGAUUGGAAAUGGCGAGAUCAGGAUGGCAGCCCACAGGGAGAAGGCACUGUCACAGGAGAACUACACAAUGGCUGGAUUGAUGUCACCUGGGAUGCUGGUGGCUCAAACUCUUACCGUAUGGGCGCAGAAGGAAAAUUUGACCUCAAGCUUGCACCAGGGUACGACCCUGAUACAGUGGCAUCACCCAAACCUGUUUCAUCCACUGUUUCAGGCACAACGCAAUCAUGGAGCAGCUUGGUGAAAAACAACUGUCCAGACAAGACAUCUGCUGCUGCAGGCUCCUCAAGUAGAAAAGGAAGCAGCAGUUCUGUGUGUAGCGUGGCCAGUAGCAGCGACAUCAGCUUGGGUUCGACCAAAACGGAACGGAGAUCAGAAAUUGUAAUGGAACACAGUAUAGUUUCAGGAGCUGAUGUCCAUGAACCAAUUGUUGUUCUUUCAUCUGCUGAAAACGUCCCUCAAACAGAAGUAGGGUCAUCUUCCAGUGCAAGCACCAGCACCUUAACAGCGGAAACGGGAAGUGAAAAUGCUGAAAGGAAGUUAGGCCCUGAUAGUUCUGUUCGUACUCCUGGGGAGUCUAGUGCAAUAUCCAUGGGAAUUGUCAGUGUUAGUUCUCCUGAUGUUAGUUCAGUAUCUGAAUUAACUAAUAAAGAAGCAGCUUCACAACGACCUCUUAGCUCUUCAGCAAGUAACAGACUGUCAGUGAGUUCUUUGUUGGCUGCUGGGGCCCCUAUGAGCUCUAGUGCAAGUGUACCUAACCUGUCCUCAAGAGAAACAUCUAGCUUGGAGAGUUUUGUAAGGAGAGUGGCAAACAUAGCACGGACUAAUGCCACGAACAACAUGAAUCUAAGCCGAAGCAGCAGUGAUAACAACACUAAUACUUUGGGGAGGAAUGUGAUGAGCACAGCAACUUCUCCUCUUAUGGGUGCUCAGAGUUUCCCUAAUUUGACCACACCUGGUACUACAUCAACAGUGACUAUGUCAACAUCCAGUGUUACUAGCAGCAGCAAUGUAGCUACAGCAACAACAGUUUUAUCAGUUGGUCAAUCUUUAAGUAACACUUUAACCACCAGCCUCACAUCAACUUCCAGUGAGAGUGACACAGGUCAGGAAGCAGAAUAUUCCUUAUAUG
rnacentral:circRNA from 1 species